rnacentral:rRNA from 1 species
UACGAAGGGGGCGAGCGUUGUUCGGAUUUACUGGGCGUAAAGCGUGCGCAGGCGGUGAUGUAAGACAGGUGUGAAAUCCCCGGGCUUAACCUGGGAACUGCAUUUGUGACUGCAUCGCUGGAGUGCGGCAGAGGGGGAUGGAAUUCCGCGUGUAGCAGUGAAAUGCGUAGAUAUGCGGAGGAACACCGAUGGCGAAGGCAAUCCCCCUGGGCCUGCACUGGACGCUCAUGCACGAAAGCGUGGGGAGCAACAGG